rnacentral:lncRNA from 1 species
CACCCACCCACUGCGCCUGCGAGCUGAGCGGCCACUAGCUUUUUCUGCGUGUUGAGGGGUAACUCAGUCACCCUCCCCGGUCCCGUGGAUUAGCAGGAAGAGCUGUGGAGACAGACCAGGAUGGCAAUGGCCAAAGGGACAGAUGAGUAACGGAGUGAAAUCCUAACAUCCUCUGAGGCCAGAUCCUCAGCUGCCACCUCCUCUGUGAAACCACUGAGAGCUCCGUUGGAUUUUUGAGUUUCCUGUCCAAGUGCUGUGCUAAGCACUCAGUCCUCGCAGCAACCCCUGAGGCAGGUAUCCCAUUGUUCAGAGGAGAAGCCAGCUUGGAGAGCCUGAUUUACCUGAUUAUGCCACCCAGAGGUGUCAGAGGCGGAGUCUGUCUGCCCUCCCGACUCCCAGGCCACUCCCCUAUCUUUGGCCUCACUCCCAGCAUUCGCUUGGUUCUGGCUUGCGGCAUUCUCCUACCUGUGACAGCUGGGGCCGCCCCACCACUGUUCCAUCCAUAAAGCCUCCCCGCUGUCCUGCGCACUGGAGGGACUCAGUCAGUCACCGGUGUGUGGGAAGCACCUCUCCUCCCAGGCCUUCCCCUCUCCUCCCUGUGACUUCUUGUUCCCUGUAGCGCCCGUAUCUUCACCCUCCUGAAACCCUUUCUUCUUGGCACCUUUCUCAUUUCUUCCACGAUGCUCUUCCAAGAAUGGGCAGGGGUGAAGAGGCAAAGUGACAGACUCAGGGUUUGCAAGAGUGAAAGACACCUAUUUAAUGGCAAAAUAGUGAUGGAAAGCAGCAGAAGUAAAACCCUCAUUUUUCCUAUAACAGACAAAUCGCUUGAAAAUCCAGUUUAAUAAAAUCCCAUGAUCCCUCUGAA